GCCAGACUCCUACGGGAGGCAGCAGUGGGGAAUAUUGCACAAUGGGGGGAACCCUGAUGCAGCAACGCCGCGUGGGUGAAGAAGUACUUCGGUAUGUAAAGCCCUCUCAGCAGGGAAGAAGAAAUGACGGUACCUGAGUAAGAAGCACCGGCUAAAUACGUGCCAGCAGCCGCGGUAAUACGUAUGGUGCAAGCGUUAUCCGGAUUUACUGGGUGUAAAGGGAGCGCAGGCGGCACAGCAAGCCUGAUGUGAAAGCCCGCGGCCCAACCGCGGGACUGCAUUGGGAACUACCGGGCUGGAGUGCCGGAGAGGUAGGCGGAAUUCCUAGUGUAGCGGUGAAAUGCGUAGAUAUUAGGAGGAACACCAGUGGCGAAGGCGGCUUACUGGACUGUAACUGACGUUGAGGCUCGAAAGCGUGGGGAGCAAACAGGAUUAGAUACCCCAGUAG
rnacentral:rRNA from 1 species